CCUANGGGUGGCUGCAGUGGGGAAUUUUGGACAAUGGGCGAAAGCCUGAUCCAGCAAUGCCGCGUGCAGGAUGAAGGCCUUAGGGUUGUAAACUGCUUUUGUACGGAACGAAACGGCUCCUUCUAAUACAAGGGGCUAAUGACGGUACCGUAAGAAAAAGCAUCGGCUAACUACGUGCCAGCAGCCGCGGUAAUACGUAGGAUGCUAGCGUUGUCCGGAUUUACUGGGUGUAAAGGGAGCGCAGGCGGGUUGGUAAGUCGGUGGUGAAAUUUUCGGGCUUAACCCGAACACUGCCAUCGAUACUGCUAAUCUUGAGUGCAGAAGAGGUUGAUGGAAUUCUAGGUGUAGCGGUGAAAUGCGUAGAUAUCUAGAAGAACACCGAUGGCGAAGGCAGUCAACUGGUCUGCUACUGACGCUCAUGCUCGAAAGCGUGGGGAUCAAACAGGAUUAGAUACCCGGNUANUC
rnacentral:rRNA from 1 species